rnacentral:rRNA from 1 species
AUGAGGAAACCAGAGCAAGAUUCCAUGCCAUCGAAAAGGAGUAAACAUAACACAUGUUCCAAGGAUCAGACGCCUACGCACAAGGUUAUCCAUCAUGGUAGUAGCGUAAAUGUAAGUUCUUCAAGCAGUGAGCAUGAUGAUGAGCAGAUGUCCCCAUGGGGAGGGGGUACUUCGAAGGUCUCACCUUUGGUUCACGCUCGGAAGCUGCAUGCAAACCUAUUAGUUGCAGAGGUUCUCCGCCUUCGAAUGAGAGACAAGCAUGAAGAAGCUGACCAGCUUUCGAGAGUAUCAGAGAGAAAUGGAGGUUGUGCUGCAUGA